rnacentral:rRNA from 1 species
UGAAUACGAGAUGCUACGGCAUUGAAGCAGUCUAUGUCAUACUUCCAAGAAAAGCUUGCACUGUCAUAAACAAAUAAUGCCUGUACCAUAACCGACACAGGUGGGUAGGUAGAGUAUACUGAGGGGCGCGAGAUAACUCUCUCUAAGGAACUCGGCAAAAUGACUCCGUAACUUCGGGAGAAGGAGUGCCUUAUUUAUUAAGGUUGCAAUAACAAGAUCCAAGCAACUGUUUACCAAAAACACAGGUCUCCGCUAAGUCGUAAGACGAUGUAUGGGGGCUGACGCCUGCCCAGUGCCAGAAGGUUAAAGAAGUUGGUUAGCACUCGCGAAGCUGAUAACUGAAGCCCUGGUGAACGGCGGCCGUAACUAUAACGGUCCUAAGGUAGCUAAAUUCCUUGUCGGGUAAGUUCCGACCCGCACGAAAGGCGUAAUGAUUUGGAUACUGUCUCAGAGAGGGGCUCGGUGAAAUAGACUUGUCUGUGAAGAUGCGGACUACCUGCACCAGGACAGAAAGACCCUAUGAAGCUUUACUGUAACUUGAGAUUGAAAUUGGACUUUAUUUGCGCAGUAUAGGUGGGAGGCUAUGAUACUAUUCUUGUGGGAAUAGUGGAGCCAUCAGUGAGAUACCACUCUUGUAAUGUUAGAUUUCUAACUUUGAAUCAUUAUCUGGUCAAAGAACAGUUUCAGGCGGGCAGUUUGACUGGGGCGGUCGCCUCCCAAACGGUAACGGAGGCGCACAAAGGUUUCCUCUGAACGUGUAGAAAUCGUAUCUAGAGUGUAAAGGCAUAAGGAAGCUUGACUGUGAGACCUACAAGUCGAGCAGGGACGAAAGUCGGUCUUAGUGAUCUGACGGUGCUGAGUGGAAAGGCCGUCACUCAACGGAUAAAAGUUACUCUAGGAUAACAGGCUGAUCUCCCCCAAGAGUUCACAUCGACGGGGAGGUUUGGCACCUCGAUGUCGGCUCAUCGCAUCCUGGGGCGGUAGUACGUCCCAAGGGUUGGGCUUUUCGCCCAUGAAAGCGGUACGCGAGCUGGGUUCAGAACGUCGUGAGACAGUUCGGUCCAUAUCCGGUGUAGGCGUUAGAAUAUUGAGAGGAUCCUUCUUUAGUACGAGAGGACCAAGAAGGACAUACCUAUGGUGUACCAGUUAUCGUGCCAACGGUAAACGCUGGGUAGCUAUGUAUGGAAUGGAUAACCGCUGAAAGCAUCUAAGUGGGAAGCCAACCUCAAGAUAAGUAUUCUCAUU